AAGUCUCCAGGGCUGUCUUCUUUCAAGGUGUAUGGCAUGUUUGAUCACUGAGCUGUGCAGGCUGGUGUGAUGUGGGUACAUAAAUCUUCACGCAACUUUUUUCCAUCCCCUUUGUUACAGAUAAUGACCCCAGGGAUAUUUAGUUUAAAGAAAAGUCAUUUAAAAAGACAGGUUUGAUCAAGGCGGACAAAAUGGGUCUUCAGAGGGCAUGAAUUGAAAUGAAGGAAAUCCCAUUUAAUCAUUAGAAAAUAACCUGUUUCUGAUCAAACACUGGCACAGGUUUCUCGGAGAGGUUAUGGAGUUUCAUCCAUGGAGAUACUCCAAUCCCAAGAGGACACAGUCCUGGGCAGCCUGCUGGAGGAGGUGACCGUCAUCUCUGGAGGUGCAGUGACUCUGGGAUUCUGUGAAACAUCCAUGGAGUAAAACGACGAGUCAGGACCACCAGAGCUCCAGGCAAGAAGCUAAUUGUAUCAAAAAGCCAUACUUAAUCUGACAAAGAAGAAUUAUUUUUGAAACAUGUAUGGAAGGAUUAAACAGUGUACUUAAGAGCUCCCAAGAGGACACCAGGAGUCAGCAGGUAGAGGUCUUUAUCUUGUGGAUUCUUUUAAAAACAAACUGUGGACACAGGCUGGUUCACGAACCUUCACAGAAAUGCAAACCCUGCAAUUUCCUUGUAACCUUGUUUGCCACAAAUGCAUUACAGCAUUACAAAAAGCGUUACAGCCAUCCGCUGGGCAGCAGCUCUUCUGGCCCAGCUGUGGUGUGUGCAGUGGUGUGGGAGCACCCGCAGUGCGAUGACAAUGAAGGACUGCAGGGAAAACAAAAUGCUGCUCUGCUGAGGAUGAGCUGUGAGCCAACGCAGUCUUGCUGAAAGUUAGAGACAAGAGCUGCCUGGAUGUACAGCCCUCACUGGCCAGGGCGAUUUGCAGGAGGAUGACCAGGCAGCUGGUGGGACAGUGACAGAACUGCUGUCAAAAUGGGUAUCUGAGUACUUCGUUACACGCUGGAGGAGCCAUGCUGAUCUCCUACUCAAGGCAGGGUAAAUUAAGAUUGGACAGGACCUUGUGGUGAUGGUCACUCCACAAAAUAUUUUGGGCUGGGGAAGCUGACAGCCACUGUCUCCAUCCCAUGGCGUGGGGUUGCCUUCCUGACCCAGCAGACCCGGGGCAUGAACAGGUUGGGGCCCCGUGUAUGGGUCAGCUCUGUGUCAUCCCUGCUGCAAGUUGGGCAGUGCUCGAGCCUGGAGCUCUGGAACAGACAGCACUGUGCAGAGCAGAGCCUUCCUUUGAGUGGAUGGGAGCCCAGGCAGGGGAACCAUAGCUGAAAGCAUCCUGGGCUGUGACAGGGCAAGGCGUGGAGCAUUGCUAGUGAGGACUUCCGUCAUUUCCUGAAUUCCCCUGGCAGUUGGUGAUAGAAUCAUUAACGUUGGAGAAGACCUCUAAGAUCAUUAAGUCCCACCAUCAACUCACCCUCACCAAGCCACUGACCACAUCCCUCAGUGCCACGUCUCCACAGUUCUUGAACAUCUCCAGGGGUGGUGACUCCACCACCUCCCUGGGCAGCCCAUGCUACUGCAGCACUGCUCUUUGGAGAAGAAAUUGUUCCUAAUAUCCAACCUGAACCUCCCCUGGAGCAACUUAAAGCUGUUACCUCUCACCUAUCACUAUUACCUGGCAGCAGAGGCCAACCUCCACUUGCCGCAAUCUCUGUUCAGGCAGUCAUAGAGAGCAAUAAGGUCUCCCCUGUGCCUCCUCUUCCCCAUCCUGAACCAUCCCAGUUCAAGCUGCCUUGCACACAAACAUGAGGAUCUCGCACUGAUCCUGCAUAAGCAAAAUAAUAAGGAUAAAAAUGCUUGGCUUUUUUUAUCUCAG
ensembl:lncRNA